rnacentral:rRNA from 1 species
UAUGUGAUCGUCUCUCGCAUAUCAAUAAGCGGAGGAAAAGAAACUAACAAGGAUUUCCCUAGUAACGGCGAGUGAAGCGGGAAGAGCUCAAAUUUGAAAUCUUAAAGGGUUUCCCUUUACGAAUUGUAGUUUAAAGAAGUGUUUUCUGUUGAGGUUUUGGUAAAAGUUCUUUGGAAUAGGACAUCAUAGAGGGUGAGAAUCCCGUAUUUGACCUUUACUUUCAACUUUGUGAUACACUUUCAAAGAGUCGGAUUGUUUGGGAAUGCAGUCCAAAAUGGGUGGUAAAUUUCAUCUAAAGCUAAAUAUUGGCGAGAGACCGAUAGCGAACAAGUACCGUGAGGGAAAGAUGAAAAGAACUUUGAAAAGAGAGUUAAGCAGUACGUGAAAUUGUCAAAAGGGAAGCGUUUGACACCAGUGUUGUUUUUCUGAAAAUCAAUUAAAGAACUGUUUAUGCUAAGUUGUUUAGACUUUAUCAGCUAACUGUUUAGUUUUGAGCUUUUCUUUAAUGCACUUUUCAGUUAACAAGUCAACAUCAAUUUCUUUUGCUGUAAAGAAGCUUGAGGAAGGUGGCUUGAGAUUCGUCUUAAGUGUUUAUAGCCUCUUGCCUAUGCAGUCGGAGAGAUUGAGGUCUGCAGCGUAGAUCCUUCGGGGCUAAAUGCAUUUGUGCUAAGUUAUAGCAUUUUAUAGACAACUUGUUGACUAUGAUUUGUCUUGUAGCUUACUCGCUUAUGUUAUUUUACCUACGCUUAGGAUGUUGAAGAUAUGCGCGACAC